GUAUACUUUUUUUGCAUGCGGAAAUUGCUACCAUUUUUGGCCCAAAUUACUGAAAUUAGUGUGGUAACAAUUUCCGCAUGCAAUAUAAAAGUAUACAAAAUUUU
rnacentral:miRNA from 1 species